GCCGCCACCGGCGAAGCCCCCGCGCCCUGUUACCGGAUCCUCCGGCCGCGGUGACGCGAUGGCCACCUCCGCCCCCUUCCCCCAGCGACCCCGACCCCGUACUGCAUCGGGACACCGCCAGUGGCCUCGGAUCUGAGCACUGGCCACUAGUUCUGCGGAUGCUAACGCGGGGGUUGUGCUACUCCGGCGAGCUCAUUCAUCCUCGACCACGGCGCGCCAAUGUCGCACUCCUCCCUCUCGUUCCCUCUUCCAUCCCCGAGCCCAAAUCCGACAAGCUUGUCAACCGGAGAGCCUUGCUGUCCCUACUGCUGCCACCACCCGAUGUCCACCGUGCCUACCUGUGAUGCACCUGCAGCUAGAGGAGGGCUCGGCCUGCAGCAAGAGGAGGGCACGACCUGCAGCUGCGUGUCCACAUCCGGCAGAGAAGAUAGAGGUGGCUGGGUCAUGGAUCUUGCACACGCCCCUCCGGCCAGGAGGCUGCCUAGCUGCUGAAUCUCCCUGACGCCACCAGUACGUGAUUUUGAGACAUGCGACCGUUGCAAUCCAAGGUCGCCGGCGCUGUUAGGCCGGAGUUGGGAGGCCGUGAUGAAGUUUCGGGGAAGUCCAAUGCCUCAUGUGCGGCCAGUGCGGCGUCCGCUACGCCGCCGCGACCUGCAACACUUUGGGGCGAACAUCAUCGUAACCUUCUCCCUCCGCACAAGUUUUCCGCCUCGCUCGCGAGAAGUUCAUGCGACCAGCCAUCUCUCAUCGCUAUUUUACAGCGGGAUGCCAUCCGUCGAUUUGCAGAGAAAACAGAAGUUCAGUGCAUACGUCCUUCAAUUCACCAUCUCUCACAUUGUUAGUUAAAAAAGAAGCACAAGACGGCGCUGGCAGGUGGAUGUGUUGUAUCAGAACAUGAAGCGCUAGUUGAAGCUAGUCCCAUGCGGAGCUACUAGUGCUUCUCUUUUUGUAAUUGAUUAGCUGUUGCUGUUGUCCUAGGUUUUUUUGGUCUUAAGUUAUUCACCAUCUCUCACAUUGUUAGUUAAAACAGAAGUUCAGAAGCAUAUGAUUCACUGCUC